AUGCUACAAGCAAGGAUGGCCUCAGCAUCCGAUUCUGGAACCAGCAGAUCACUAUGAGGAGCCUGGCGAUGGCAGGAACAUCCCGGUGAGGACAGCUUGUUGAGGAGGAAGGCUGUGGAGCCCUGGCCAUCUGAAAGCUAAGUGGAGGGUCUGGGAGGAGGGGACAAGGUUGGGGGUUGGAGGCGGGGGGUUUCAAAGUUGGUGUAGGGGAGAGGACUGGCAGGGCACAGUCAAGGGACGCGUUACUCUUCAGCACAAUGUCAGCGUGUACAGGGCAGGGCAGCUCCAACCUGUGUCUGGCGUGUACUUCAUGUUGUCUGUUUUCUGUGUCUUAGACUGUAUGUUCUUUGGGUCUUGGUGCUUCCAUAGCUCGGUGACCAGCAGGCACCUCGGUAGCCCUCCCAAGAGUUCAGAAUGCAUCACUUCACUGGCACAGAGCCUGUUGAGCCCUUCUCAUCUCACAAUUACAGCUUGAUGCGUGCAUCUCUUUGGCGUGUGUCACUUGCUGGCUGUUCCUGAGCGUUCAUCUCUUGUGGUGGCCAGCCAGGUGCUGCCUGCAGCUCUGCUCUUGAGUCUGCAGUUUCCACAGAGUCAUUUUCUGGGGUUUCAUCCCCAUGUCCUCACUGGUCUUGGGUCUUCAAGCAUGGCUUCUCACACAUCCCUUAUUCUGGCUUUGAUGGCAGCUUUCUCUUGUGUGUGGCUGCAAUCUCCUCUCCUUGGCAGGUCUGCUUUAGAGCAUCCGUGCCAUCGUGGCACCGUAGGGCUUCUCUGCCAGCAUCAUCUUCCCUAUGGGAAUCUUUUACUGAGCAAGGACAAGACACUUAUAGAAAGUUACAAAGGUCUUGUGAAAAAAAGAUCCUGAUCUUGUUGAAACAAGAAGAUGGGGAAGCACGUGCUUUGCUUAAAAUAUGGCAGAAUUGCCGCAGUUGCUGUAGCUGAGCGACGUCUGCUCGUGACAAAAUCAACAAUAUGGAAACCAGACCUUCAGCAUUUAGGCUGCCCACCUCCAACUGAAGACCUACGCACUGUGUGUGCUGUACCUUGAAAUCAGAGUGAGAAAUUCACUAACCAAUCAGAGUAGAAUAACCGUGAAUAUGUAUUAGGUGGAGCAAACAAACCAAAAGCGUGUGAAUGUGUAGAGUUUUGUGACUUCAGGGGGCAGCUUUGUGUCUAACCCCCUCUUGCCCUGUGUUUGCCUAAAUGAAUGAAAUAAAUGAAAAUACCUUGGCUCUAUAUGUAUUUUGGCAUCUCGCAUAGUAGGUGAAUGACCCCACUUUUGGUAUAACGAGGUAUAACACUCGCGGCGUCCGUGUGUAGUCCUGGUCUGUGUGUGAGGGUUGGAGCUGCCCUGCCCAGGGAUGCAGCAGUACUGAUGACAGGGUAGCGUAGCUUUAUGGGGGUGUGGAAGUAAGUUGUUUUGGACCAGUUCUGUUGGCAGAGACCAUACGGUCCAUUUCUGGGCCAACAGGUGUAGGCAGCUGCCACAGUUGUGUUCGCUUUUCUUUACGGUCCGGGGCUAGGAUUGGAUCCAGCCGCACCUAGACUCCUCUGAGAAGGAGUUUAGAAAGCAAGGGGGUCCAGUCUGAACCUCGUGACUGGUUGGGAGCAGCAGUUAGUGUGGAAGGGGAGCGGGUCAGAUCUGGAAGGUGCCUUAGCUUGCACAGAUGGGGCUCCCUAGCUGGCUUUUCUUCUUCUAGCUGUAGUGAGAAGGUAUAUGCAAAAGGCAGAGAGACCUCUGGCCUCACCAAGCUACCUGUGGCUGUGCAGGUGACUUGCUUUACAGGGUGUGUUUGUGUUGUUUCAGAUGCAGAGCAACAAGCAGCAAGGCCAAGGGCACGGAAUAGGGGAGCAGAGUGCUGGCUGAAGAAGGACAGGCAUCCAGCGCCGGAGUAUCGGCAGGACAGCUGGUGGUUCUGACAAGCCUGAACUUUUCUGGCUGGAUUUUCUGGGUGCAAAUCCAAGUGUGAAGUGAGAUGUUAUCAGCAGAGCAGCCUCUGGCAAGGUGGUACACAAGCCCUCCUAGUCCCCUGGGGUCCCUGCCUGGAUUGUUCAGGAUGGCCUGGUGCUGUGCAUUGCAUUUCCAGAGACAAACAGCAGCUUGGCAGCUUGUGGUCAGGACUCUGGAGAGAUUUGGGAAGGCCCCAGAGCACCUUCUGCAUCCUCUCACAGUCAGCAUGUGAGUGAAGUGAUGCAGGAUUCCCACCUCCGUGCCGGUCCCGCAUGUCAUCCUCUUCCCCUGUGGUUCCAGACUGUCAGCAUAGGAGAGACUUGCUUCCCCUACAGGUCCAAGUAUUUCCCAGUGCAUGAGGGACCUGCCACAGAACCUGAGCUUUCCUAUUGCAUUGACUGAAGAGCUGCAUAACACUUAGAGCCUGGUGUAGGUUGGCUUCUUCCUGCUAAGAAGCCAUUUCUUCACAAAAUGCUUUUCUUUGUCUAAGAUGGAGACAUACAAGUAGUGGUGACCAGAUAUGUGCUUGUGAAUGGACUUGAUGGAGAGUACCAAACUUCUCUUUCAUUGCAGUCUGUAAUGAUUUUUUUGGCCUCCAAAGUUUUUUGUGCUGCUUCUCAAACACACUUUCCCAGCCUUUUUUUAAAUGUAAGCAGACAUUGAAAGAAAAACCAGCACUAAGAAUAUUGAUGGAGAAAGAAUUGUGCACAAUUUCAGAACUUCACAGACUUGUUUAUAAGACUUACUUAUUUGAAAAAGUGACACACUUGUUGCUAAUCAAUUAAUAACACAUUAUUUUUCACUUCAUAAUGGAGUCACAAGCUGCUGUUUUCAGACCCUGAUCUCUGGGAGGCUCUUUGUAGAAAAUCAUGCAUAGGAAUAGGAUCAUCCUCUAGGAAAGCUGGAAACACUGUGGUUGAUAAGUUGGAUUUUUUUGUGGAGUAAAACCUGGCUGUGUUGGGCAAGCCUCUUGGAAACACCCCUGAUUUCCUAGGAACUUGCUGGAGGAAUCCCAAGGCAGACUGACCAUGACACCUGAAGCAGAUACCAGCCACAGGUGUGUUCAGAUGCUGAACAAAUAUUUCUCAUACUCCCUUUCAAUUGUUGGAAACCUGCCAGAGUUAAAUCCCAUCUUUAAUUUCUGGAGCUUUGCUGUUUUCCUUAUUUUUCUGCCUAAGGUGCAUGAUCUGAGGUGUUAAUUUGAACUUGGACUGGAAGAUGCAGUUCAAAUACUCAUCUUUAUGCAGAAAGCAACCAGGGAAGACAUUCUCAAGUGUAAGUGUGGUAAUUAGUAAGAUUGUAAUGAUGAGAAAAUUACAGUUUCUUCUGGAAGUCACUAGCAAGUUACAACCAAAGAAAGAAGUGGAUGUCAGGAUAAGGGACCCUAUGACCAUAUGGCAUUGGAAGACAUGGAUUAGGAUUUCUCUCUGUGGUUUGGCUUGACAAAAGCAGUGAGGAAAAGACAGCUGAGGAGGUUCUGCUCCUCUGUCAUGAUAGAAGAGGAAAAUGAUAAUGAAAUGUAAAACUCUGAAGUAGCUCAGUGAGUUUCCAUGUUCUGCUUAUUAUAGGGACAACUGAAAUUCCCCAUAUAGAUUCUGUGCUUUAAAAAGCAACAGUUCAGAUGAACUAAACUGAUCUCAGCUGAUGCAUUUCUUUACCAAGUGGGGUUCUAUGGUCUCUUUGAGCAGUCUAUCAGCUGAACUGCUGGGAUUUUCCAUUUAUUCUUUUCUUUUAAAAUUGAUUUUACAUGAGUAAGAGUGAGUUAUGUGGAAAAUCGACUCCAGGAAGCUUAUCUCGGUGAAACCCAAGAAAAGGUAACAUGCAUAAAUUAGGAUGAACUAUAUCCCGAGAUAAACUUUAUUAAUCAGGUUAAAAGAAGAUACAGAGACCUGAGAGUAUUUUAAUGUUACAUAAAUAAUUUUUUAUUUAUAUAACAGCAUUGCCUGACUUGGUUUGUUCCUCCAUGCAGAAAAACUCAUAGGUAUGUAAAGCAAAAAGCUCUGGUCUUAAGAGGCAGUAUGGGUUACUUUAAUAUAUGCCAAUUGGUGUGGGGAGAAACUCAUUCUCUUGUAGUAAAAAUAUCUCCCUCUUAAUGGACCUAGCAGACUUUAUUUGUUUACAAAAGAUUUGGUACCAAAAAAUACAUUAAUAAAAGAGGCUAGAGAAACAUAUUGGAAAUAUUAGUCUGUACUGGCAAAGGAUUCUUUUAACAAUUUUAAAUAAAGAUUUUCCAGAAUUUGGUGGGGGGGAGAAGAAGAAAUUUACCUGGAAAACCAUGCUGACUGCAAGAGGAAGAACACCAGUUGGUAUCUGAUUGUUUUUUUUUUACUGUUUUUUGUUACCUAACCAAACACUUUCACUUACUGGUUUUAUCAAAGCUAAAAACAAUUGUCAAAACAUCCCCCACUAAUUUGAAAUUAAUUCGUUGUCUAAUCUAAAAUACUCUAAAAUAACCUCUGUCUCUGAGCAGGGCUUGGCCUGCUAAAGUCACAGCUCUGCUCUUGAGGGAAUGAGUCCUCAGAGAAGAGCAGGGACAGGACUGAUGUCAUUCACAGCAUUUUUCCCUGGCUGCCUGGAGCCUGAUAGCUGGUUCCAGCUCUUCUACCUUCAGCAGGGAUCAGUGGGAAUCUCAGCAGGAGGUUUAAACACCCCCCUCUGUCUCCCAGCAAAGGUCUGCUGUUGUGUGUUCACAUCUCCUUCACACUUUCCCUGCUCCUGCAUUUUCUCCAAGAUCUUUUCUCCUCCUCUUUUGAGGAAGAUGCCAGAGUGACAGUAACAAAAGCUGGAACUUUUGGUAAAAAUACAUUCAGUAUUUCUGCAUGUCAUGGACUUCUAGGCAGUGUUAGGUGCUUGCUACAGCUACAGCCAUCUCCAGGUUUUCUCUUAACUUUCUGCAAGGGAGCUGUGCACAGUGGUAAAUAGCAUGAUGCAAAUCAGACUCACCAUAAACUCCUGUGAGAUGGGCAGUUGUUGUACAGAGCAUCUUUGAAAGGGGAGCAAAAGCAAAGCUCAAGGGAUGACAUGAUACCUCUCUAAUGGUUUCCUGACUGAUUUGCAUGUAUGCAGAUUUAUGCAUUCUGUUUGUAUGUACUUGUUUCCCAAAGCUCUGUAUGAUUAAUUUAUUUCAUCCUGGUUUUGUAGUAGCUUGAAAUUUAUCCAUGCACUGUUCAGGAUCUGGUCCUAUUGCCCUCAAAAGUGUUGAGGUUCCUCAAUCACAUUCAGCUGUUCCCCCUAAAUGACUUCUUCAGGAUCAGGUUGAAAGCACCUGAAGAACAGAAACAGUCUUUUCUUAUGCUGUAAUGACAGGUGCAUUUUCACUUUGUCAGUUGAAAGGUAACUAGGUCCACAGAUGAGGAUCUGGAGGAAUGGUUCAAGAUGCAGCUUCUCCCAGCUCAGAUGCAUUACACAGACUUGCAGGCUGCUGCUGAGGUAAAUCCUUUUCUUAUUUUCUCCCCCUCAACAGCAGAGUUCAAAGCUCUUCUAAUUGCAGGUGACCUUGGGUGGUUCUUCCUAUAGAAAUUAAGUGGAGAAAUUAAAAUGCAGUUUUCAUGGCAUUUUCACUGACACCUCUUGUGCCUGGAGGUCAAAUGUUUUCACUUAUUUAUGGAACUUGGCAUUGUUAUCCUGAAGUAGAAUUUGGUGGUGGUUGUUGUUGUU